CGUAGCCGCGGUAAUACGGAGGGAGCUAGCGUUGUUCGGAAUUACUGGGCGUAAGGCGCGCGUAGGCGGUUACUCAAGUCAGAGGUGAAAGCCCGGGGCUCAACCCCGGAACUGCCUUUGAAACUAGGUGACUAGAAUCUUGGAGAGGUCAGUGGAAUUCCGAGUGUAGAGGUGAAAUUCGUAGAUAUUCGGAAGAACACCAGUGGCGAAGGCGACUGACUGGACAAGUAUUGACGCUGAGGUGCGAAAGCGUGGGGAGCAAACAGGAUUAGAUACCCCAGUAGUCCCUGUCUCUUAUACA
rnacentral:rRNA from 1 species